GAUGAACGCUAGCUACAGGCUUAACACAUGCAAGUCGAGGGGAAACGACAUCGAAAGCUUGCUUUUGGUGGGCGUCGACCGGCGCACGGGUGAGUAACGCGUAUCCAACCUGCCCACCACUUGGGGAUAACCUUGCGAAAGUAAGACUAAUACCCAAUGAUAUCCCACGAAGGCAUCCGAAUGGGAUUAAAGAUUUAUCGGUGAUGGAUGGGGAUGCGUCUGAUUAGCUUGUUGGCGGGGUAACGGCCCACCAAGGCAACGAUCAGUAGGGGUUCUGAGAGGAAGGUCCCCCCACAUUGGAACUGAGACACGGUCCAAACUCCUACGGGAGGCAGCAGUGAGGAAUAUUGGUCAAUGGGCGAGAGCCUGAACCAGCCAAGUAGCGUGCAGGACGACGGCCCCUAUGGGUUGUAAACUGCUUUUAUAAGGGAAUAAAGUGAGUCUCGUGAGACUUUUUGCAUGUACCUUAUGAAUAAGGACCGGCUAAUUCCGUG
rnacentral:rRNA from 1 species